UGAACCUGGGUCAUGGGGAGCUUCUCAUCAGCCAACAUCCUCAAGUGCUUCUCCUCAGGACUGCUCUCAAUAACCUGUCUUGUUUCUGUGCAAGAGGGACAGGUAUUCCUCAUCAGCCCUUUCAGUCUCAUGAUUUCAUUUCUCUGGAGUUAACCUAAACAUCUGGUUGUCUGUUGCUGUUGUACCUGAAGAGGUGACCGUUUGCUGUGAGUUAAUGAUGUUUCUGUGCCCUCCUAUUUUUUAACUCCUCCUUUUCCUCCUGUAAAAUAACAUUACCAAAGGAAUGUACGUGCGAGAUUUUCUCCUUGCAGUUAAUAAUACCACUCACCUCCUUGAGAAGAAUGUCCUGUAACAUGUACCAGAAUAGUAAUAACAAAAAUAAUAAAACCCCCAUAUGCUCUUGUCUGUUACUGUGCGGUGUGCUUAAUCCUGGAAAAGAGAUAACCUUGCCCCAAACAGCUUGUUGUUUAAUGAGGGUUCAGUCAGCAUAUGUAACCAACAUUAGGAAAACCAAGGAAGAGUAAGGGAAACAGCAGUAAUGUGUUAAUGUGA